UACAGAGGGGCAAGCGUUGUUCGGAAUUACUGGGCGUAAAGGGCUCGUAGGCGCCAACUAAGUCCGACGUGAAAUCCCAAGGCUUAACCUUGGAACUGCGUCGGAUACUGGAUGGCUUGAAUUCGGGGAGAGGGAUGCAGAAGUUCCAGGUGUAGGCGGUGAAAUGCGUAGAUAUCUGGAGGAAUACCGGUGGCGAAGGCGGCAAUCCUGGACCGACAUUGACGCUGAUGAGCGAAAGCUAAGGGGAGCAAACGGGGAUUAAGAAACC
rnacentral:rRNA from 1 species